AACGUAGGAGGCGAGCGUUAUCCGGAUUUACUGGGCGUAAAGCGCACGCAGGCGGUUCCGUUAGUCGGACGUGAAAGCUCCUGGCUUAACUGGGAGAGGUCGUUCGAUACUGCGGGACUUGAGGUUGGGAGAGGGGUGUGGAAUUCCCGGUGUAGUGGUGGAAUGCGUAGAUAUCGGGAGGAACACCUGUGGCGAAAGCGGCACCCUGGCCCACACCUGACGCUGAGGUGCGAAAGCGUGGGUAGCAAACAGGAUUAGAUACCCCCGUAGUCC
rnacentral:rRNA from 1 species